UUUUCAUUUACAAACGUUUUCUCCUACCUCGGUACGCCCCUCCUCUAUCGGUUUCCUCGCAUAUGUCGCUCAUUUUUUCCAUUUUCCCGUCUGUCCUCUUUCUUCCAACAGGUCCAUUCGCCCGGCGCUACGCUGCCAACCCACGACAAGAUACCUCAUGGAAGCCGUCGAGAAAACCGUGGACCAAAUCAAAAAGAACGGCUGCUUCGAGAAAUGGCACUCUCAGCUCCUCGAGCGUCUGCUCUCUUCCAAUAAAGCACAACAACUGUUGCAACGCGUCGAAUACCUGUGUCAAAACUCUCAUUUCCUCCAAACCACUGCCAAAAAAAACUUUUCGGUUGAAUGGCAUGUGAACCGGCUCAUCGAAGAAGUCGAGGCCAAAGGUUUGACUCAAGAAUUGAACUUUUUUCUUGAGGAAGCAAUCCAAGAAUUCAUCCCUUCGGUAAGGAACGACAUCGCAACGGUCUUGGAACAAUUCAACGAAUAAAACGCACUCGCAGAUGCCAAACUCAAGUACCACACAUGCCCUGAAAAAUGACGUGGCCAAAGCAAAAUUUGCUAGAAAUCUGCGGUGUUGAAUAUAAUUGAGCAUAAUAAAGCCGAAACUGUACCGUCCGCUGCGCGACCCAGUCCAUUUCUGAAAAAAGACCAAUAGGCCGGCCCAAUUUUUGAGCGCCGCUUCAUCCGUAACCUCUUUUCAGAACAGACCAAAUCCACCAAC